rnacentral:rRNA from 1 species
UGGGGAAUUUUGGACAAUGGGCGAAAGCCUGAUCCAGCAAUGCCGCGUGUGUGAAGAAGGCCUUCGGGUUGUAAAGCACUUUUGUCCGGAAAGAAAUCCUUGGCUCUAAUACAGUCGGGGGAUGACGGUACCGGAAGAAUAAGCACCGGCUAACUACGUGCCAGCAGCCGCGGUAAUACGUAGGGUGCAAGCGUUAAUCGGAAUUACUGGGCGUAAAGCGUGCGCAGGCGGUUUGCUAAGACCGAUGUGAAAUCCCCGGGCUCAACCUGGGAACUGCAUUGGUGACUGGCAGGCUAGAGUAUGGCAGAGGGGGGUAGAAUUCCACGUGUAGCAGUGAAAUGCGUAGAGAUGUGGAGGAAUACCGAUGGCGAAGGCAGCCCCCUGGGCCAAUACUGACGCUCAUGCACGAAAAGCGUGGGGAGCAAAACAGGAUUAGAUACCCUGGUAGUCCACGCCCUAAAACGAUGUCAACUAGUUGUU